rnacentral:rRNA from 1 species
GGCGAUCAGAUACCGCCCUAGUUCUGACCGUAAACGAUGCCAACUAGCGAUCUGCCGGUGGAAUUUUUGCCCUGGUAGGGAGCUUCCCGGAAACGAAAGUCUUCCGGUUCCGGGGGAAGUAUGGUUGCAAAGCUGAAACUUAAAGGAAUUGACGGAAGGGCACCACCAGGAGUGGAGCCUGCGGCUUAAUUUGACUCAACACGGGGAAACUCACCCGGCCCGGACACCAUAAGGAUUGACAGAUUGAUAGCUUUUUCAUGAUUUGGUGGAUGGUGGUGCAUGGCCGUUCUUAGUUCGUGGAGCGAUUUGUCUGGUUUAUUCCGAUAACGAGCGAGACUCUAGCCUACUAAAUAGUGUGCACAUUGCUUCUGUGUUGCAGUACUUCUUAGAGGGAUUUUCGGUGUACAGCCGCACGAGAUUGAGCAAUAACAGGUCUGUGAUGCCCUUAGAUGUCCGGGGCUGCACGCGCGCUACACUGGCGAAAUCAGCGUGCUUGUCCUUUCUCGAAAGAGAUUGGUAAACCAAUCAAAAUUUGCCGUGAUUGGGAUCGGAAAUUGCAAUUAUUUUCCGUGAACGAGGAAUUCCAAGUAAAUGCGAGUCAUCAACUCGCGUUGAUUACGUCCCUGCCCUUUGUA